GGCUCCUUGAGGAAGAAGAUUAGCUAAAGAAUGGUUUUAGUGGGGUGCCUGGGUGGCUCAUUUGGUUAAGCGGCCGACUUCAGCUCAGGUCAUGAUCUCGCGGUCCGUGAGUUUGAGCCCCUCAUCGGGCUCUGUGCUGG